GAGAGCUGAGAAUGGGAGAAGAAUGGAGUGUGUGAGCAGCAUGGCGGCCUCCUCUCCUCUCCUCACUUCACUCUCACGGCCUACCUUUACCCGCCUGCCUGCUCGGCGCCCAGAACACCUUCCACCAUGACUGCCUCAGCAUGUUCCCACUUAAACAAAGUCAUUAAGCAUGUGUACAUGUCCCUGUCUCAGGGUGAGAGAGUCCAGGCCAUGUAUAUCUGGAUCGAUGUUACUGGAGAAGGACUGCGCUGCAAGACCCGGACCCGGGACAGUGAGCCCAAGUGUGUGGAAGAGUUACCACCAUGCCUGGCCUGGCAUUUUGAUGGCUCUAGUAUUUUACAGUCUGAAGGCACCAACAGUGACAUGCAUUUCGUGCCUGCUGCCAUGUUUUGGGAUACCUUCAGUAAAGACCCUACAAGCUGGUGUUCUGUGAAGUUUUCAAGUACAACCAAAAGGCUGCAGAGACCAAUUUGAGGCACACCUGUAAGUGGAUAAUGGACAUGGUGAGCAACCAGUUCCCCUGGUUUGGCAUGGACCAGGAAUAUCCCCUCAUGGGGACAGAUGGGCACCCCUUUGGUUGGCCUUCCAAUGGCUUCCCAGGACCCCAGGUCCAUAUUACUGCAGUGUGGGAGCAGACUAAGCCUAUGGUAUGGACAUUGUGGAGGCCCAUUACCAGGCCUGCUUGUAUGCUGGAGUCAAGAUGGCGGGGACUAAUGCUGAGGUCACACCUGCCCAGUGGGAAUUUCAAAUCGGAUGCUGUGAAGGAAUCAGCAUGGGAGAUCAUUUCUGAGUGGCCUGUUUCAUUUUGCAUCAUGUAUGUGAAGACUUUGGAGUGAUAGCAACCUUUGAUCCUAAGCCCAUUCCUGGGAACUGGAAGGGUACAGGCUGCCAUACCAACUUUAGCACCAAGGCCAUGUGGGAGGAGAAUAGUCUGAAGUACAUUGAGGAGGCCAUCGAGAAACUAAGCAAGUGUCACUAGUACCACAUCCGUGCCUAUGAUCUCAAGGGAGGCCUGGACAAAGCCCAGCAUGUAGCUGGAUUCCAUGAAACCUCCAACAUCAACGACUUUUCUGCUGGUGUAGCCAAUUGUAGGGCCAACAUAUGCAUUCCCUGGACUGUUGGCCAGGGGAAGAAGGGUUACUUUGAAGACCGUCGCCACUCUGCCAACUGCGAACCCUUUUCGGUGACAGAAGCCCUCAUCCACAUGUGUCUUCCCAGUGAAACCGGCAGUGAGCUCUUCCAGUACAAAAACUAAGUGGACCAGACCUCCAGCCAUUGAGCCCUUCCUAGUUCUUUAUCCCACUCCAACUCUUCCCCAUCUCCCAGUUGUCCCAAUUGCAACUCAAAGGGUGGAAUAUAAAGG